rnacentral:rRNA from 1 species
GGGCACGACACCGGAGAGGGAGCCUGAGAAACGGCUACCACANCCAAGGAUGGCAGCAGGCGCGCAAAUUACCCAAUCCCGACACGGGGAGGUAGUGACAAUAAAUAACAAUACGGGGUUCUUUCGGAUCUCGUAAUUGGAAUGAGUACAAUUUAAAUCUCUUAACGAGGAACAAUUGGAGGGCAAGUCUGGUGCCAGCAGCCGCGGUAAUUCCAGCUCCAAUAGCGUAUAUUAAAGUUGUUGCAGUUAAAAAGCUCGUAGUUGAAUUUCGGGAUCAGAUUGUCGGUCGUGCCUCGGUACGCACUGGCAUUAUUGGUUCCUACCUUCUGAAGAACCGCGGUGUCAUUAAUUUGGUGUCGUGGGGAAUCAGGACUGUUACUUUGAAAAAAUUAGAGUGUUUAAAGCAGGCGCACGCUUGAAUACAUUAGCAUGGAAUAAUGAAAUAGGACGUUUGAUUCUAUUUUGUUGGUUUCUAGGAUCGACGUAAUGAUUAAUAGGGAUAGUUGGGGGCAUUAGUAUUCAAUUGUCAGAGGUGAAAUUCUUGGAUUUAUUGAAGACUAACUACUGCGAAAGCAUUUGCCAAGGAUGUUUUCAUUAAUCAAGAACGAAAGUUAGGGGAUCGAAGACGAUCAGAUACCGUCGUAGUCUUAACCAUAAACUAUGCCGACUAGGGAUCGGAUGAUGUUGAUUUUAUAAUGACUCAUUCGGCGCCUUACGGGAAACCAAAGU